GUUCACUUUGGCAGCACAUAUACUAAAAUUGGAAUGAUACAGAGAAGAUUGUGCCCCUGCACAUAGAUGACGUGCAAACUCCUGAAACAUUCCAUAUUUUU
ensembl:snRNA U6 U6 spliceosomal RNA